rnacentral:rRNA from 1 species
CGUAACUAUAACGGUCCUAAGGUAGCGAAAUUCCUUGUCGGGUAAGUUCCGACCUGCACGAAUGGCGUAAUGAUGGCCAGGCUGUCUCCACCCGAGACUCAGUGAAAUUGAACUCGCUGUGAAGAUGCAGUGUACCCGCGGCAAGACGGAAAGACCCCGUGAACCUUUACUAUAGCUUGACACUGAACAUUGAGCCUUGAUGUGUAGGAUAGGUGGGAGGCUUUGAAGUGUGGACGCCAGUCUGCAUGGAGCCGACCUUGAAAUACCACCCUUUAAUGUUUGAUGUUCUAACGUUGACCCGUAAUCCGGGUUGCGGACAGUGUCUGGUGGGUAGUUUGACUGGGGCGGUCUCCUCCUAAAGAGUAACGGAGGAGCACGAAGGUUGGCUAAUCCUGGUCGGACAUCAGGAGGUUAGUGCAAUGGCAUAAGCCAGCUUGACUGCGAGCGUGACGGCGCGAGCAGGUGCGAAAGCAGGUCAUAGUGAUCCGGUGGUUCUGAAUGGAAGGGCCAUCGCUCAACGGAUAAAAGGUACUCCGGGGAUAACAGGCUGAUACCGCCCAAGAGUUCAUAUCGACGGCGGUGUUUGGCACCUCGAUGUCGGCUCAUCACAUCCUGGGGCUGAAGUAGGUCCCAAGGGUAUGGCUGUUCGCCAUUUAAAGUGGUACGCGAGCUGGGUUUAGAACGUCGUGAGACAGUUCGGUCCCUAUCUGCCGUGGGCGCUGGAGAACUGAGGGGGGCUGCUCCUAGUACGAGAGGACCGGAGUGGACGCAUCACUGGUGUUCGGGUUGUCAUGCCAAUGGCACUGCCCGGUAGCUAAAUGCGGAAGAGAUAAGUGCUGAAAGCAUCUAAGCACGAAACUUGCCCCGAGAUGAGUUCUCCCUGACUCCUUGAGAGUCCUGAAGGAACGUUGAAGACGACGACGUUGAUAGGCCGGGUGUGUAAGCGCAGCGAUGCGUUGAGCUAACCGGUACUAAUGAACCGUGAGGCUUAACCUUACAACGCCGAAGGUGUUU